AAUAAUGCCUUGCUUGCAUGCCUACAAUAGUUUUGAUUUGUUCAAACAGUAUAGAAAACUAUUUAGCUUCAUCAGUUUUUUAUACGUAUUAUGUGUUUCUUUUCCAGAUAUCAUCAUGUCAGUUGGUUCGGGUAUUUUAAAAAUGUAAUGAAUGUGGUUAAUGAGCAAUAUGUAGUUUGUCGCUUCAAUUGAUUGGCCUG
rnacentral:lncRNA from 1 species